AGACGUAGGGGGCGAGCGUUGUCCGGAAUUACUGGGCGUAAAGGGCGUGUAGGCGGCCUUUCAAGUCGGCUGUGAAAUUCCCCGGCUCAACCGGGGGGGUGCAGUCGAAACUGGGGGGCUUGAGUGCAGGAGAGGAGGGUGGAAUUCCCGGUGGAGCGGUGAUAUGCGUAGAUAUCGGGAGGAACACCGGUGGCGAAGGCGACCUUCUGGCCUGUUACUGACGCUGAGGCGCGAAAGCCGGGGGAGCAAACAGGAUUAGACACCCUGGUAGUCCCGGCCGUAAACUCUGGGUACUAGGUGUAGGGGGCGUUGAUGCCUUCGGUGCCGUAGUUAACGCAUUAAGUACCCCGCCUGGGGAGUACGAUCGCAAGGUUGAA
rnacentral:rRNA from 1 species